AACGAACGCUGGCGGCGCGCUUAACACAUGCAAGUCGAACGAGAAGGCGUAGCAAUACGCUUGUACAGUGGCGAACGGGUGAGUAAUACGUGGGCGACCUACCCUCGAGUGGGAAUAACCCGCCGAAAGGCGGGCUAAUGCCGCGUACGCUUCCAUCUUUAUGGAGGUGGAAGGAAAGCCGUGCCGUGGGCACGGCGCUCAAGGAUGGGCUCACGUCCUAUCAGCUUGUUGGAGGGUAACGGCCUACCAAGGCUCCGACGGGUAGCUGGUCUGAGAGGACGAUCAGCCACACUGGCACUGCGACACGGGCCAGACUCCUACGGGAGGCAGCAGUGAGGAAUAUU
rnacentral:rRNA from 1 species